AUUGCUGUCCUUUGCUGGAUCCUCCUGUUACACCUUUCCGCUACUCUGGCCGUGCUCCAUGUCCUGCUCCCCUGGUGUCUGUGUCUCUCUGGAUCAAAGUGGCAAACCAAAGUAAAAGUCUUCUACAGCUUUAUACAGACAACCUGUGUGUAGUAUGUAUUCCAUUUGUGAUGCACUGGCUAGGGUAUGUAUCUGUGCCACUAUAGUCAUUUUAAACACUAGCUAUUCAUUGUUUAUUCUGUUGGUGGAGCUUCCAGUAUACAGCCAAGGUACCAUCUUUGAGAUGCUGUUCCUUCACCUUUCGCCAGGAGCAGUCAAAAGGCGAGAGGCAGGGUACAGCCCGGACUGAUCAGCAGCUAGAUGGUCCCACCACGUCUUGUUGGCAGUCGACCGGCGGGAAUCAACCUCAUCCUAUGGGCACAGACUAAACAUUAAGACCAGGUUAGUGACGCACACGUUCAUUAAUAUCCUGCGUGACGUUGAUGUGGUCACUAACCUGUGUUCUCCACCUGCAGAGGUUCCUGCCUUAGACACCCACGCUGUUCUCCGCAGUUAUAUCUGUAACAAUUUGUUAAACCUAACUGUCUCUCCACCUUGAAAACUGCGUCCCUUUGUUCUGAGCCUGACAGUGAAUUACUAGUGUGAAUUUAUCACUAUUUUUAUUGGGAGGGUAUAUAAACUUUCAAGCACAUCUCUAUGCAAUCUCUGCUAAGGGUAAUUGAACAUGACCCAUUAACCGAAUGUUAAGGACAUAAUGCCAAAAAUGGGGAAAACAUUUCUUCCCCAAAUGUCUUGUUGCUGUAGCUAAUAACUGUGAUGCUGUGCAGCACCAGGGUGUACAAAGAUUUUCUUAAGGAUAUGAUUUUAAAUCAUACUAUCUAAAGUUUAUACUUUACACUUUAUAAUACAACUUG